rnacentral:rRNA from 1 species
CAGUCGCCGCGGGAAUACGUAGGGUGCAAGCGUUAAUCGGAAUUACUGGGCGUAAAGCGUGCGCAGGCGGUUCGCUAAGACAGAUGUGAAAUCCCCGGGCUUAACCUGGGAACUGCAUUUGUGACUGGCGGGCUAGAGUAUGGCAGAGGGGGGUAGAAUUCCAUGUGUAGCAGUGAAAUGCGUAGAGAUGUGGAGGAAUACCGAUGGCGAAGGCAGCCCCCUGGGCCAAUACUGACGCUCAUGCACGAAAGCGUGGGGAGCAAAUAGGAUUAGAGACCCCUGUAGUCCCUGUCUCUUAUAC